UACAGAGGAUGCAAGCGUUAUCCGGAAUGAUUGGGCGUAAAGCGUCUGUAGGUGGCUUUUUAAGUCCGCCGUCAAAUCCCAGGGCUCAACUCUGGACAGGCGGUGGAAACUACCAAGCUGGAGUACGGUAGGGGCAGAGGGAAUUUCCGGUGGAGCGGUGAAAUGCGUAGAUAUCGGAAGGAACACCAGUGGCGAAAGCGGCUUCCUGGUCCAGCACCGACGUUCAGGCACGAAAGCGUGGGGAGCAAACAGG
rnacentral:rRNA from 1 species